GAAAUGGCUGCUCAGUCCUUGGCCAAUCUUCCAUUGGACGACCCAAUCAGUCACUCAAUCCAAUCUUCACGGAACAAAACCCAUAUCUCUCUCUCUCUCUCUCUCUCUUUCUUAAACCCUACACAUCGCAGAACACAUCAUAACUAGGCAGCGCCACCACUUACAUGACCAAUCUCUCAUAACAAUCCUCAAAUCCUAGACCCCACUUGCCUGCCUGCCACCCCAUCUCUGCUACGGUCCUCUCCAUCCAUCCCACUGCGGCAAUUAAGGCAUUUGCUAUGGCUGAAC
rnacentral:misc_RNA from 1 species